UACGUAGGGGCAAGCGUUGUCCGGAAUUAUUGGGCGUAAAGGGCGCGUUAGGCGGGAGGAUAAGUCAGAUGUGAAAUCCCGGGGCUCAACCUCGGAACUGCAUUUGAAACUAUCUUUCUAGAGGGUAGGCGGAGAAACGGAAUUCCACAAGUAGCGGUGAAAUGCGUAGAUAUGAUGGAAGAACACCGGUGGCGAAGGCGGUUUCUAGCUUAUUCCUGACGGCUAAGUGCGCGAAAGCAAGGGGAUCAAACAGG
rnacentral:rRNA from 1 species